GCCAGUGUGGUGUAGUGAUCUGAAUGUUGGACUGUGACUCUAGAGACCAGGGUUCGAUUCUCUGCUUGAUCA